UACGUAGGGGGCAAGCGUUGUCCGGAUUUAUUGGGCGUAAAGAGCGUGUAGGCGGCCAAGCAGGUCCGCUGUGAAAACUUGAGGCUCAACCUCGAGACGUCGGUGGAAACCGUUUGGCUAGAGUCCGGAAGAGGAGAGUGGAAUUCCCGGUGUAGCGGUGAAAUGCGCAGAUAUCGGGAAGAACACCCGUGGCGAAGGCGGCUCUCUGGGACGGUACUGACGCUGAGACGCGAAAGCGUGGGGAGCGAACAGG
rnacentral:rRNA from 1 species